CCUACGGGUGGCAGCAGUGGGGAAUAUUGGACAAUGGGCGAAAGCCUGAUCCAGCCAUGCCGCGUGUGUGAAGAAGGCCUUCGGGUUGUAAAGCACUUUCAGUGGGGAAGAAAGCCUUGGGGCUAAUACCCUCGAGGAAGGACAUCACCCACAGAAGAAGCACCGGCUAACUCCGUGCCAGCAGCCGCGGUAAUACGGAGGGUGCGAGCGUUAAUCGGAAUUACUGGGCGUAAAGCGCGCGUAGGCGGUCUGAUAAGCCGGUUGUGAAAGCCCCGGGCUCAACCUGGGAGCGGCAUCCGGAACUGUCAGGCUAGAGUGCAGGAGAGGAAGGUAGAAUUCCCGGUGUAGCGGUGAAAUGCGUAGAGAUCGGGAGGAAUACCAGUGGCGAAGGCGGUCUUCUGGACUGACACUGACGCUGAGGUGCGAAAGCGUGGGUAGCAAACAGGAUUAGAUACCCCGGUAGUC
rnacentral:rRNA from 1 species